CAAAAGACUCGGCAAGCUAGAGACAGGACUCUAAGGUAGCGAUGGCGCCGGAAACAGGGGAAGGGGAGAGAGCAAGGGAAACAGUAAAGGGUGUGCGUUGGCUUGUCUCAGCUCUCUCUCUCCCUAGGUACCGCUGAACCUCGAGAGGAUAGGCCGGCGAAUCAAGUGAUCCCACCAGCAGUCCGCAGGCUGCAAGAAGGAGGUCGACGGGGGCGUGCCUUCAGACGUCGUAGAGAGCCCGUGGCGCGGGUGGACCGGGGGUUAAAAAGGGGCGGCCGUAAAGACCAAACUAGGACACUAAACUUUUAAUUCCUAAGUAUUUGUAGUACAACUAUACUCCCUUACGACGUCAACCUAACUACAUGAACUGUCUUCGUAGUCCCUCUCUCCACUAAAUCCCUCCCGUGGACUGUACACUAAUAAGGUAUCACAUUUAAUCUGACCAGCA
rnacentral:rRNA from 1 species